rnacentral:rRNA from 1 species
AACGUAGGACGCAAGCGUUAUCCGGAGUUACUGGGCGUAAAGCGCGAGCAGGCGGCUCGACAAGUUCGCUGUGAAAGCUCCCGGCUCAACCGGGCGAGGCCAGUGGAAACUAUCGAGCUGGAGGGCAGUAGAGGCAGGCGGAAUUCCGGGUGGAGUGGUGAAAUGCGCAGAGAUCGGGAGGAACACCCGUAGCGAAGGCGGCACUCUGGGCCGAUACUGACGCUGAGGAGCGAAAGCGUGGGGAGCGAACAGG